UUUUUGCAGUCGAAAUCUGCAUUGCUCCAUCUUCUUGAAAGAUGAGAUCUUGCUGGUUCCAAUUGAGUGGGAUCAUUCUUUGGAUCUGGUUGAGUAAGAACGAAUGCAACCUUCAUCAAAGAUAAAUAAAACAUCAUUUUCGCCUUCCAUCUUUUGAAGUGUUGUCCUUCAAACUUGAAAGGUCGAUUAUGAUUGUUGUCGUUUGAAGAUGUUCGUGGAGGAGAA
rnacentral:lncRNA from 1 species